UGCGGAGAUAGAAAACAGAUUGCAGCAAAUAUUUGUGUUUAUAAUUGCUGCGCAGGCCGGUGGUGCGAGGGGCGCUGGGAGCCAGCUCUUGCGCAUCCGGUGCCUUGAAAUAUGGGAACCAGAAGUCCUGAGGGUUCCUGAUCCACAGAGGUGAGGCUCUGGACGCACAGGGGGAGGACAGUCCCCGUCCCGCAGCGCUGGCUCCCCACGUACCAUGGAAGCAACGAGACCAUCACCCAGAGGAGGGCUUGCUCCAGGGUAGCCGUGAAGACCUCUCAGCUUCUUGACCCCCAUGAAGGGGGAAAAGAAAUGAAAUGGGGUAAGAGCCAGCCGUGCCUCUGCUGACCUGUCCCUAAGGAGCUGGGAGACCCUUCCUGUGGAGGCAGAGGGCUGGAUCCCAGUCUCCCAGUGCCGAAUCCUUCGGGAUGCCUUCAGGAAGCAGCACGUGGCGUGAUGAGCCAGCCUGGCUCGAGAUGCUCCUUUCUAAAGGUUGCUCCAAGAACCCUGUCCUGGAAGAAACCGUCUCCUUUGAAGGUUCGUAUCUGGUUGCAUCACUCCUUGCCCAUUGCAAGGGAUGGGUUUGGGGUAAAAGUGGCAGCAAACAGGGCUCCUCCACCCCAGCCCGCUGUCCUGGGGCGGGGGUUUGGUCUUGCUGGGCCCAGAGGGGGCUUUGUCUGAGGGUACAAGGGUGUCUGGCUGGGGACAGCCCUGCACGUUGGCACUGGGUGGCUCCGGAGCGGUGGGCACGCAGCCGCCCUCCUCCUGGAGCGGGUCCCAGCCCUGCAGCACGGGCAGCUCUGGGGACAACAGUGACAGCCUUAAAAGGGGUGACAAGAGCAGCAGCUCGGCUCUCGUGUGACCAGCUCGGGCUCAGGAGGAGCACCACGCUGGGAGGAGAGGCAGGGACACUCCAACAGUGACAAUUCCCCAUGGAUUUCCUCCUUUCACCAGCUCUUUCCCAAAAUCAACGUCACGUUGGUUUGGGGGCAUCUCCCCUGCCCGGCGUGGGGUGAAGUGACCCGUGUGGAGCAGGGACAGAGCUGCUCUGGUUGGGCCAUCCCUGGCCACCACGGCUCUGCUGUCAUGCUCAGAGCAGGGAAAUGUGCUGGCCCCAAUACCAGCAGCCGCCCAAAAUACUCCUGCCAGCUUUCUCAGGAAGGUUAGAUGUUGUUUGUGGAGACGAUGUGGGAAAGAUGAAA